UUCAAGUGGCUUGAAGCUCUUCU
rnacentral:miRNA from 1 species